UUGUUUCUUGAAACAAUAUCUAA
rnacentral:snRNA from 1 species